UCGUAACAAGGUUUCCGUAGGUGAACCUGCGGAAGGAUCAUUGUCGAGACCUGCAGCAGCAGGGAGACCGCGAACCCGUGACACACGGCUUCGGCGCCCUCGGGACCGGCCGUUGCCAUUCACUGCCGCCCUCGGGCGUGCGGGUUUGGCAAGAACAACAAACCCCAGCGCGAGUUGCGCCAAGGAAAACAAACAAAGUUCGCCUCGCGUCGUCUCCCGAUCUCGGGCGCGCUACGCGUGGUGACUUAAGUUGCAAAACACGACGACUCUCGGCAACGGAUAUCUCGGCUCUCGCAUCGAUGAAGAACGUAGCGAAAUGCGAUACUUGGUGUGAAUUGCAGAAUCCCGUGAACCAUCGAGUCUUUGAACGCAAGUUGCGCCCGAAGCCAUUAGGCCGAGGGCACGUCUGCCUGGGCGUCACGCAACUCGUCGCAACCGGCUCCUCAACGAGGGCUGCUGGUGGCGUAUUAUGGCCCCCCGCGAGCUUGUCCCGCGGCCGGCCCAAAAGCGGAGUCACCCGUGGUCUGGUUGUCACGGCAGGUGGUGGCACUAUGCUCAUCGCGUUUUGCCGUGCUGAAACUCUUCCGCGGUCGCGUCUCCCCUACCCUAUAGCGCCUUGUCUUUUGCAUGGUGCCUUGACCGCGACCCCAGGUCAGGCGGGACUACCCGCUGAGUUUAAGCAUA
rnacentral:rRNA from 1 species